GACGAACGCUGGCGGCGUGCUUAGCACAUGCAAGUCGAACGGUAAGGCCCCACUUUUGUGGGGUACACGAGUGGCGAACGGGUGAGUAACACGUGGGUGACCUGCCCCUCACUUCGGGAUAAGCCUGGGAAACUGGGGCUAAUACCGGAUACGAGCGCCCGCUGCGGGGGGGGGGGUGGGUUGUUCGGUGGGGGAUGGGUCCGCGGCCUAUCAGCUUGUUGGUGGGGUAGUGGCCUACCAAGGCGGCGACGGGUAGCCGGCCUGAGAGGGUGGGCGGCCACAUUGGGACUGAGACACGGCCCAGACUCCUACGGGAGGCAGCAGUGGGGAAUAUUGCACAAUGGGCGGAAGCCUGAUGCAGCGACGCCGCGUGGGGGAUGACGGCCUUCGGGUUGUAAACCGCUUUCGCCUUUGACGAAGCUUUUCUGACGGUAGAUGGAGAAGAAGCACCGGCUAACUACGUG
rnacentral:rRNA from 1 species